rnacentral:rRNA from 1 species
AUUGAACGCUGGCGGCAGGCCUAACACAUGCAAGUCGAGCGGAUGAAGGGAGCUUGCUCCUGGAUUCAGCGGCGGACGGGUGAGUAAUGCCUAGGAAUCUGCCUGGUAGUGGGGGAUAACGUCCGGAAACGGGCGCUAAUACCGCAUACGUCCUGAGGGGGAAAGUGGGGGAUCUUCGGACCUCACGCUAUCAGAUGAGCCUAGGUCGGAUUAGCUAGUUGGUGGGGUAAAGGCCUACCAAGGCGACGAUCCGUAACUGGUCUGAGAGGAUGAUCAGUCACACUGGAACUGAGACACGGUCCAGACUCCUACGGGAGGCAGCAGUGGGGAAUAUUGGGCAAUGGGCGAAAGCCUGAUCCAGCCAUGCCGCGUGUGUGAAGAAGGUCUUCGGAUUGUAAAGCACUUUAAGUUGGGAGGAAGGGCAGUAAGUUAAUACCUUGCUGUUUUGACGUUACCAACAGAAUAAGCACCGGCUAACUUCGUG